CGGCGGACGGGUGAGUAACGCGUGGGUAACCUGCCUCAUACAGGGGGAUAACAGUUGGAAACGGCUGCUAAUACCGCAUAAGCGCACAGUACCGCAUGGUACGGUGUGAAAAACUCCGGUGGUAUGAGAUGGACCCGCGUCUGAUUAGGUAGUUGGUGGGGUAACGGCCUACCAAGCCGACGAUCAGUAGCCGACCUGAGAGGGUGACCGGCCACAUUGGGACUGAGACGCGGCCCAA
rnacentral:rRNA from 1 species